rnacentral:lncRNA from 1 species
GCAAAGGAACAAACAAGAUUUAUAUUGAGCGCAAAUAAUCAAUCCAUUACAAUAAUCAUCUAGCCUAAUCCCCAAAUCAAAGAGAAAUUUAGCCUAUCAUGUUCAACAAUAACAUACCCAAUGAAAAGAGAAACAUAAAUGAAAAAGAGAGAAAGAAUGAACAAAUCCUAUUGAGAAGCUUGCUUCAAUCUUCUCUCAUCUUCAAUCCUUCUUCAAAUGGGUAGGAAUGAGUAUGAAUGUUGGGGAUUAGGGCUUGGAUAUGGAGGUAGGAAUGUUGGGGAUGAUGAAUAUGGGUGAGUAUGAGGUUGGGGAAGAUGAAUAAUGUGAGGAAAAGGGGGAGAAAAGGGGUUUAAGGGCUGAAAAAACGCGACUACCGCUCUUUUCCCGCGGUCAUGGCCCGCGCCGUGGUGCUCAAACGUGGGCAAAACUCAGGGAACCCGCGGUCCCGCCCCGCGGCCGCGGGUGGUGACCGCGGUACACCCCUGGAACUUGGGAACAGCUGACCCGCGGUCCCACCCCGCGGCCGCGGGUGGUAACCGCGNUAAACAAGGAGGUGAGUGGUUUAAUUAUCAACUAAAUACUCAACAAGUGCAAAGACAAAUAAAAUCAAAUAAGCAAAGUGGAUUAACAAGUGAUUAAGGCGAUUUAGGGACUAGGCAUCGAUGAUUAAGCAAAGGACUUCAAUUAUAACUCAAUACUAAUCUUGACGAACCUAAUUAAUCUAGAGUGAUCUCCCAACUAGUUCUAGCCCCUCCCGGACGACUAGAGCGGUAGAUUACGGGUCAUAGUUGCCGUCCCCGGUCAACUUCUAACCUAUGACUCCCAAAAGCACACAAAGAUCGACAUACUCUCACCCAACUCUCAACCUCCCGGUUAUCGAAUUGAUAUGUUUCAAACACCUUAUCUAUUGCAAUUAUCCUCUCCCGAUUCAAAGUGCAAAUUAGAAAUGCAUAGAAUGUGGCCAACAAUCCAUACAAGAAAUAAAUCAAGGGUUUGAAAAGAUAAUGUGCAAAUGAACAAACAAGAUUUAUAUUGAGCAUAAAUAAUCAAUCCAUUACAAUAAUCAUCUAGCCUAAUCCCCAAAUCAAAGAGAAAUUUAGCCUAUCAUGUUCAACAAUAACAUACCCAAUGAAAAGAGAAACAUAAAUGAAAAAGAGAGAAAGAAUGAACAAAUCCUAUUGAGAAGCUUGCUUCAAUCUUCUCUCAUCUUCAAUCCUUCUUCAAAUGGGUAGGAAUGAGUAUGAAUGUUGGGGAUUAGGGCUUGGAUAUGGAGGUAGGAAUGUUGGGGAUGAUGAAUAUGGGUGAGUAUGAGGUUGGGGAAGAUGAAUAAUGUGAGGAAAAGGGGGAGAAAGGGGUUUAAGGGCUGAAAAACGCGACUCCGCUCUUUUCCCGCGGUCAUGGCCCGCGCCCGUGGUGCUCAAACGUGGGCAAAAACUCAGGGAACCCGCGGUCCCGCCCCGCGGCCGCGGGUGGUGACCGCGGUACACCCCUGGAAUUGGGAACAGCUGACCCGCGGUCCCACCCCGCGGCCGCGGGUGGUGACCGCGGGGUACUGGGCGUAUUGCGCAGUCCGCUCGUUUUGCUCCGUUCUCCCUCGUCCGGACUCGGAUUUGGUCGCCGUUUG